AAAUCUCUGGGCAAGUUCAUCACUCUUUGCUGCUGUUUUUUGCGCUUAAGAGUUUGUUGAGAUAAUGGAUUCUCGAAGAGUCACUUUCCUCUUAGUCUGUAUUUUGGUGUCAGCCUUCAUGAUCUGUCAAACAGAAGCAGUGUUAGGUCCGAGACCCACGCCUCAAUCAAAAAGAAACCGAGGAGAGGUAAAAAGAGCGAGAGAAAUAUUUAACAAGGGUUCAUAUUAUCAAGGAAGGACCGUCCGUGAUAUUUGUGUGGCUAUGAGGGAAGUUUGUGAAAGAGAAUAUUAAAACAAAAACAGGCUCUCUCUCAGCAAGUUCUUCCAAGCAGUUAUAGAAGUUUCAAAAUCGAAAUGUAAGCUAGUCCACAAUCCAUGCAAAACUGUUAAAUAAAAAGUAAUAAAUUCUUGAAAUAUUACUAA